UACGUAGGGUGCGAGCGUUAAUCGGAAUUACUGGGCGUAAAGCGUGCGCAGGCGGUUCGUUGUGUCGGCGGGGAAAGCCCCGGGCUCAACCUGGGAAUGGCCGUUGAAACUGGCGAACUGGAGUGUGGCAGAGGGGGGUGGAAUUCCGCGUGUAGCAGUGAAAUGCGUAGAGAUGCGGAGGAACACCGAUGGCGAAGGCAGCCCCCUGGGCUAACACUGACGCUCAUGCACGAAAGCGUGGGGAGCAAACAGG
rnacentral:rRNA from 1 species